AACCCAUGCUGAAGACAUUUCUGUAGGAGAUCCUUGAAAUUAUCCCAUGAUUCAAAAAGAUACUCUAAUUCUGUUAGCACAAAAGAGGAUAUUUCAUUCAUGAGCUU